rnacentral:rRNA from 1 species
GGGUGAGUAACGCGUGAGGAACCUGCCUCAAAGAGGGGGACAACAGUUGGAAACGACUGCUAAUACCGCAUAAGCCCACGGGUCGGCAUCGACCAGAGGGAAAAGGAGCAAUCCGCUUUGAGAUGGCCUCGCGUCCGAUUAGCUAGUUGGUGAGGUAACGGCCCACCAAGGCAACGAUCGGUAGCCGGACUGAGAGGUUGAACGGCCACAUUGGGACUGAGACACGGCCCAGACUCCUACGGGAGGCAGCAGUGGGGAAUAUUGCACAAUGGGGGAAACCCUGAUGCAGCGACGCCGCGUGGAGGAAGAAGGUCCUCGGAUUGUAAACUCCUGUUGUUGAGGAAGAUAAUGACGGUACUCAACAAGGAAGUGACGGCUAACUACGUGCCAGCAGCCGCGGUAAAACGUAGGUCACAAGCGUUGUCCGGAAUUACUGGGUGUAAAGGGAGCGCAGGCGGGAAGACAAGUUGGAAGUGAAAUCUAUGGGCUCAACCCAUAAACUGCUUUCAAAACUGUUUUUCUUGAGUAGUGCAGAGGUAGGCGGAAUUCCCGGUGUAGCGGUGGAAUGCGUAGAUAUCGGGAGGAACACCAGUGGCGAAGGCGGCCUACUGGGCACCAACUGACGCUGAGGCUCGAAAGUGUGGGUAGCAAACAGGAUUAGAUACCCUGGUAGUCCACACCGUAAACGAUGAUUACUAGGUGUUGGAGGAUUGACCCCUUCAGUGCCGCAG